AGAAUCAACGCUGGCGGCGUGCCUAACACAUGCAAGUCGAACGAGAAAGUGGAGCAAUCCACGAGUAAAGUGGCGCACGGGUGAGUAACACGUGACUAACCUACCCUUGAGUGGGGAAUAACUGAGGGAAACCUUAGCUAAUACCGCAUAACACCUACGGGUCAAAGGAGCAAUUCGCUUAAGGAGGGGGUCGCGGCAGAUUAGUUAGUUGGCGGGGUAAUGGCCCACCAAGACAGUGAUCUGUA
rnacentral:rRNA from 1 species